rnacentral:rRNA from 1 species
GAUCCUGGCUCAGGACGAACGCUGGCGGCGUGCCUAACACAUGCAAGUCGAGCGGAGACAGUGAGUAGCUUGCUAUGAGCUGUUUUAGCGGCGGACGGGUGAGUAACGCGUGAGCAACCUUUCCCAGACAGGGGAAUAACACACCGAAAGGUGUACUAAUACCGCAUAAGACCACGGGAUCACAUGGUUCUGGGGUAAAAGAUUUAUCGGGUUUGGGGUGGGCUCGCGUCCGAUUAGGUAGUUGGUGAGGUAACGGCCCG